CCAGAGAUGGAAAGGUGCCUUCGGGAACCGUGAGACAGGUGCUGCAUGGCUGUCGUCAGCUCGUGUUGUGAAAUGUUGGGUUAAGUCCCGCAACGAGCGCAACCCUUAUCCUUUGUUGCCAGCGGUCCGGCCGGGAACUCAAAGGAGACUGCCAGAGAUAAACUGGAGGAAGGUGGGGAUGACGUCAAGUCAUCAUGGCCCUUACGCCCAGGGCUACACACGUGCUACAAUGGCGCAUACAAAGAGAAGCGACCUCGCGAGAGCAAGCGGACCUCAUAAAGUGCGUCGUAGUCCGGAUUGGAGUCUGCAACUCGACUCCAUGAAGUCGGAAUCGCUAGUAAUCGUGGAUCAG
rnacentral:rRNA from 1 species